GGGCCCGUAGCUCAGCUGGUAGAGCGCUGCGUUUGCAACGCAGAUGUCAGGAGUUCGAAUCUCCUCGGGUCCA
rnacentral:tRNA from 1 species